rnacentral:rRNA from 1 species
GACGAACGCUGGCGGCGUGCUUAACACAUGCAAGUCGAACGCUGAAGCUUGGUGCUUGCACUGGGUGGAUGAGUGGCGAACGGGUGAGUAAUACGUGAGUAACCUGCCCUUGACUCUGGGAUAAGCCUGGGAAACUGGGUCUAAUACUGGAUACGACAUGUCACCGCAUGGUGGUGUGUGGAAAGGGUUUUACUGGUUUUGGAUGGGCUCACGGCCUAUCAGCUUGUUGGUGGGGUAAUGGCUCACCAAGGCGACGACGGGUAGCCGGCCUGAGGGGGUGACCGGCCACACUGGGACUGAGACACGGCCCAGACUCCUACGGGAGGCAGCAGUGGGGAAUAUUGCACAAUGGGCGGAAGCCUGAUGCAGCGACGCCGCGUGAGGGAUGACGGCCUUCGGGUUGUAAACCUCUUUCAGCACGGAAGAAGCGAAAGUGACGGUACGUGCAGAAGAAGCGCCGGCUAACUACGUG